CAUGCAUAAUUUAUCACCUAAUCUUUCAUAACAACAAACACCUUCAUCCUUAAUCAUUUUAAUAACCAUACAUCAUCAAAUACUUACACAUCACUCAUUAGCAAAAUCAUCAUUACAAACAUAAAAAAUAACUAAAUCCCUAUACAUGCCAUAACUCAAACGUGUUUCGAUAUAAAAUACCGAGCAGUUGUAGUUGAUAGUGUGGACGAUCUCCGACUUCUUUAGGAUCCUUGAAGUAGCUUUGCAAUACUAUAAGAGAAAGAGAAAUAAAAGAAGUAAGCAUAAAGCUUAGUAAGUUUACUAGCAAAUAAAUAACAAUAUUUAACUUAAAUAAUUAAACUCAAUGUCUAUAUCUCUAGUUUACUCUUUAGUUAAUCUCAUACUAGUUCUCUUACUUGUUUACUUAGAAUACUUGUGUGCAUAACUUACUCAAUCCUUGCUGCAUCGUUGAACAUCAAUUGAUAGUAUAAUAAGUUCUUAAGUCUUACAACUUACCUGAGCUUGCCAUUUAUGCUUUAAACUGAAUUUUCAUGAACAUGAUUCGUUUACAAGCCCGUUGAGCUACAUUGGAAUAAUAAGGAUACUCGGGUCUCUUCUGAUAAUAACAUGCCAAAGCCAUGUCCCAGACAUGGUCUUACAUGGGAUGUUCUCGUGAUGGUGCCCAUGCCAUGUCCCAGACAUGGUCUUAUAGGGGACCUCUCAUCUCGGUGCCAACGCCAUGUCCCAGACAUGGUCUUACAUGGGACCUCUCGUCUCGGUGCCCAUGCCAUGUCCCAGACAUGGUCUUACAGGGGACCUCUCAUGAUCUUAAGGAUGCCAAUGCCAUGUCCCAGACAUGGUCUUACAUGGGAUCUCUUUACCCAAAUGUCAUGACAUUCGUAUCUAGUACCAUCCUUAUGUAUCAAUGGGACUUUUAAAUUUUAAUUCUCUAUCAUUUCAUGCUUGGAUCAUCAUCAAAUAAAUUCAUAAAAUAAAUUCAUAAUUGCUGGAAAUUAACAGCAUUAAUAAUAAUUAUUAAAAUAUUGCAUUUAUUUACCGUAAACUUACCUCGGUACCAAUUAUAGCCAAAUUCACCAACUUAGUCUUCAACUUUAUUCUUC
rnacentral:lncRNA from 1 species